GACGAACGCUGGCGGCGUGCCUAAUACAUGCAAGUUGAGCGAUGAAGAUUGGUGCUUGCACCAAUUUGAAGAGCAGCGAACGGGUGAGUAACGCGUGGGGAAUCUGCCUUUGAGCGGGGGACAACAUUUGGAAACGAAUGCUAAUACCGCAUAACAACUUUAAACAUAAGUUUUAAGUUUGAAAGAUGCAAUUGCAUCACUCAAAGAUGAUCCCGCGUUGUAUUAGCUAGUUGGUGAGGUAAAGGCUCACCAAGGCGAUGAUACAUAGCCGACCUGAGAGGGUGGUCGGCCACCUUGGGACUGAGACACGGCCCAAACUCCUACGGGAGGCAGCAGUAGGGAAUCUACGGCAAUGGACGAAAGUCUGACCGAGCAACGCCGCGUGAGGGAAGAAGGUUUUCGGAUCGUAAAACUCUGUUGGUAGAGAAGAACGUUGGUGAGAGUGGAAAGCUCAUCAAGUGACGGUAACUACCCAGAAAGGGACGGCUAACUACGUG
rnacentral:rRNA from 1 species